CCGUAAUUUGUUUUAAAUAAUUUAUUUUUGACAAUAGCUUCUACCAAUUUUAUUUAUUUUUGUUCACAUUAUUAUGAUUUUCUUCUUAUUAUGCUAGUUCAAGUGAAUGGUUAGCAUUAAGCAUUACAAACUAACAUAUGACAUCGGUUUUGACUGUGACGUAUAGGUGGCGGUGACGUAAAUGAUAGAUACACUGUAAGGUUGCAUUCUAAUUUCACCAACAGAUCAAAUGACCUUACAGUGUACUUGAACGUUACCGAAACUCGUUGAAAGUGACGUCACCGUUAAGACGAUGGAAUCACAUGUAACGACUAUUACUGGUCAUUUUGUGUUAAGAGUCAGAACAAUGAAAAGCUAAAGGAAAUAACUUAGCUAGGAAAAGUGUCACUUGUUUAGUAUAGAAUUGUAAUAAUUGAAAUCGAUUUGAUACAUUAAUAUUAAUCAAUUGGAUGAAUUAAAAAUUUUUUAAUACCAUUAGGAGAAUAUUUGAAGGUUAACGACAGUGACAUCUGCGUUUCAGAUCUCUGAACUGAGAUAGAAAUAGCGUGGUCAUAUACCCACAGAGCUCGUUUUUCUACACUAUAAAGUUAUACAAGUAUAACAGCAAGACAACUUUGUAGGAGAAGGAUUUAUAUCCCACAACUCUACAAACUCAUAUAAAAUAUACCAUCACGUUCAACAACCAGUGGAUGAUAAUUCGAAAUCAGGGUGAACCAACAACAAAUAUUUUCAAG